GUGGGGAAUCUUGCGCAAUGGGCGAAAGCCUGACGCAGCCAUGCCGCGUGAAUGAUGAAGGUCUUAGGAUUGUAAAAUUCUUUCACCGGGGACGAUAAUGACGGUACCCGGAGAAGAAGCUCCGGCUAACUUCGUGCCAGCAGCCGCGGUAAUACGAAGGGGGCUAGCGUUGCUCGGAAUUACUGGGCGUAAAGGGCGCGUAGGCGGACAGCUUAGUCAGAGGUGAAAGCCCAGGGCUCAACCUUGGAAUUGCCUUUGAUACUGGCUGUCUUGAGUUUGGGAGAGGUGAGUGGAACUCCGAGUGUAGAGGUGAAAUUCGUAGAUAUUCGGAAGAACACCAGUGGCGAAGGCGACUCACUGGCCCGUUACUGACGCUGAGGCGCGAAAGCGUGGGGAGCAAACAGGAUUAGAAACCCCAGUAGUCC
rnacentral:rRNA from 1 species